rnacentral:rRNA from 1 species
CCGUAUAGGGGAGCCGGAGGGAAACCGAGUCUUAACCGGGCGUUAAGUUGCAGGGUAUAGACCCGAAACCCGGUGAUCUAGCCAUGGGCAGGUUGAAGGUUGGGUAACACUAACUGGAGGACCGAACCGACUAAUGUUGAAAAAUUAGCGGAUGACCUGUGGCUGGGGGUGAAAGGCCAAUCAAACCGGGAGAUAGCUGGUUCUCCCCGAAAGCUAUUUAGGUAGCGCCUCGUGAAUUCAUCUCCGGGGGUAGAGCACUGUUUCGGCUAGGGGGCCAUCCCGGCUUACCAACCCGAUGCAAACUGCGAAUACCGGAGAAUGUUAUCACGGGAGACACACGGCGGGUGCUAACGUCCGUCGUGAAGAGGGAAACAACCCAGACCGCCAGCUAAGGUCCCAAAGUCAUGGUUAAGUGGGAAACGAUGUGGGAAGGCCCAGACAGCCAGGAUGUUGGCUUAGAAGCAGCCAUCAUUUAAAGAAAGCGUAAUAGCUCACUGGUCGAGUCGGCCUGCGCGGAAGAUGUAACGGGGCUAAACCAUGCACCGAAGCUGCGGCAGCGACACUGUGUGUUGUUGGGUAGGGGAGCGUUCUGUAAGCCUGUGAAGGUGUGUCGUGAGGCAUGCUGGAGGUAUCAGAAGUGCGAAUGCUGACAUAAGUAACGAUAAAGCGGGUGAAAAGCCCGCUCGCCGGAAGACCAAGGGUUCCUGUCCAACGUUAAUCGGGGCAGGGUGAGUCGACCCCUAAGGCGAGGCCGAAAGGCGUAGUCGAUGGGAAACGGGUUAAUAUUCCCGUACUUGGUGUUACUGCGAAGGGGGGACGGAGAAGGCUAUGUUGGCCGGGCGACGGUUGUCCCGGUUUAAGCGUGUAGGUGUGUGUUCCAGGUAAAUCCGGUUCACUUUAACACUGAGGCGUGACGACGAGGCACUACGGUGCUGAAGCAACAAAUGCCCUGCUUCCAGGAAAAGCCUCUAAGCAUCAGGUAACAUCAAAUCGUACCCCAAACCGACACAGGUGGUCAGGUAGAGAAUACCAAGGCGCUUGAGAGAACUCGGGUGAAGGAACUAGGCAAAAUGGUGCCGUAACUUCGGGAGAAGGCACGCUGACACGUAGGUGAAGUGAUUUACUCAUGGAGCUGAAGUCAGUCGAAGAUACCAGCUGGCUGCAACUGUUUAUUAAAAACACAGCACUGUGCAAACACGAAAGUGGACGUAUACGGUGUGACGCCUGCCCGGUGCCGGAAGGUUAAUUGAUGGGGUCAGCGCAAGCGAAGCUCCUGAUCGAAGCCCCGGUAAACGGCGGCCGUAACUAUAACGGUCCUAAGGUAGCGAAAUUCCUUGUCGGGUAAGUUCCGACCUGCACGAAUGGCGUAAUGAUGGCCAGGCUGUCUCCACCCGAGACUCAGUGAAAUUGAACUCGCUGUGAAGAUGCAGUGUACCCGCGGCAAGACGGAAAGACCCCGUGAACCUUUACUAUAGCUUGACACUGAACAUUGAGCCUUGAUGUGUAGGAUAGGUGGGAGGCUUUGAAGCGUGGACGCCAGUCUGCGUGGAGCCG